CAUGAAUCGAGCUGCCAGCCAUUUCAAGCUUUGACGGUGCCUGUUGAGUCUCAGCAGAACUUUUGUGCUGCCUGUGGAGGAUUUCUGUCUGCUGAGGGCACAGCUGAUGUCACCGGCUCCAGUUCAAGUAGUUGGGAUGCUGAUCAAGCAGUAGUAGCU